rnacentral:snoRNA from 1 species
UGAUUUAUUGUAGAGAUGAGGUCUCGCUGCACUCAGAUCUUAAUAUCCACGUAAAUGUCAUUCAGCAAAAAGUAACUUGGGAUCCUAAUACUGGUCUAGUGUGGUCUCUGGACAUAUCCAUCACUGGCCAGCCUCUAGAUUCCCACACACAG